CCUACGGGGGGCUGCAGUGGGGAAUAUUGGACAAUGGGCGAAAGCCUGAUCCAGCCAUGCCGCGUGUGUGAAGAAGGCCUUCGGGUGGUAAAGCACUUUCAGUGGGGAAGAAAGCCUUGGGGCUAAUACCCUCGAGGAAGGACAUCACCCACAGAAGAAGCACCGGCUAACUCCGUGCCAGCAGCCGCGGUAAUACGGAGGGUGCGAGCGUUAAUCGGAAUUACUGGGCGUAAAGCGCGCGUAGGCGGUCUGAUAAGCCGGUUGUGAAAGCCCCGGGCUCAACCUGGGAACGGCAUCCGGAACUGUCAGGCUAGAGUGCAGGAGAGGAAGGUAGAAUUCCCGGUGUAGCGGUGAAAUGCGUAGAGAUCGGGAGGAAUACCAGUGGCGAAGGCGGCCUUCUGGACUGACACUGACGCUGAGGUGCGAAAGCGUGGGUAGCAAACAGGAUUAGAUACCCCGGUAGUC
rnacentral:rRNA from 1 species